UACUACACAGACGAUGAAACAGCAGGUUA
rnacentral:piRNA from 1 species